rnacentral:rRNA from 1 species
GACGAACGCUGGCGGCGUGCCUAAUACAUGCAAGUAGGACGCAGUUGCGAACGGGUGAGUAACGCGUAGGUAACUACCUAUUAGAGGGGGAUAACUAUUGGAAACGAUAGCUAAUACCGCAUACUAGUAGAUGGACCUGCGUUGUAUUGGCUAGUAGGUAGGGUAAUGGCCUACCUAGGCAACGAUACAUAGCCGACCUGAGAGGGUGAUGUGCCACAACUGGACGUGGACACGGCCCAGACCCCUACGGGAGGCAGCAGUAGGGAAUCUUCGGCAAUGGGGUGAACCCUGACCGAGCAACGCCGCGGGAGUGAAGAAGGUUGUCGGAUCGUAAAGCUCUGUUGUUAAGGGAGCGGUACUUAACGAGAAAGGGACGGCUAACUACGUGCCAGCCGCCGCGGUAAUAC